GCUCAAGAUUAGAAGGCAAUGUCGAAGGAGUUGGAAGCCAAGACAAUCAAACAAUUCGACUUGCCAAAGCUUUGAAGAUUUAUGUUUCUAAAUCUAGAUUAGCUCAUUAUUUGGACCUUGUUAAUUUAUGAGACGUAACUUAUUAUGUAUUGUGGAGUAUGUUUAUAUUUUAAAGCCUUUUUCUUUCAUUUGCCGAAUGUAUGACUAUUGUGUGAGCAGGCUGGCCGCUGGUUAAUGACAUGUUAAUGUGUAG